CCUAUACUGCAGUCGAGCGGAAGAUGGGAGCUUGCUCCCUGAUGUUAGCGGCGGACGGGUGAGUAACACGUGGGUAACCUGCCUGUAAGACUGGGAUAACUCCGGGAAACCGGGGCUAAUACCGGAUGGUUGUUUGAACCGCAUGGUUCAAACAUAAAAGGUGGCUUCGGCUACCACUUACAGAUGGACCCGCGGCGCAUUAGCUAGUUGGUGAGGUAACGGCUCACCAAGGCAACGAUGCGUAGCCGACCUGAGAGGGUGAUCGGCCACACUGGGACUGAGACACGGCCCAGACUCCUACGGGAGGCAGCAGUAGGGAAUCUUCCGCAAUGGACGAAAGUCUGACGGAGCAACGCCGCGUGAGUGAUGAAGGUUUUCGGAUCGUAAAGCUCUGUUGUUAGGGAAGAACAAGUACCGUUCGAAUAGGGCGGUACCUUGACGGUACCUAACCAGAAAGCCACGGCUAACUACGUGCCAGCAGCCGCGGUAAUACGUAGGUGGCAAGCGUUGUCCGGAAUUAUUGGGCGUAAAGGGCUCGCAGGCGGUUUCUUAAGUCUGAUGUGAAAGCCCCCGGCUCAACCGGGGAGGGUCAUUGGAAACUGGGGAACUUGAGUGCAGAAGAGGAGAGUGGAAUUCCACGUGUAGCGGUGAAAUGCGUAGAGAUGUGGAGGAACACCAGUGGCGAAGGCGACUCUCUGGUCUGUAACUGACGCUGAGGAGCGAAAGCGUGGGGAGCGAACAGGAUUAGAUACCCUGGUAGUCCACGCCGUAAACGAUGAGUGCUAAGUGUUAGGGGGUUUCCGCCCCUUAGUGCUGCAGCUAACGCAUUAAGCACUCCGCCUGGCGAGUACGGUCGCAAGACUGAAACUCAAAGGAAUUGACGAGGGCCCGCACCAGCGGUGGAGCAUGUGAUUUAGUUCGAAGCAACGCGAAGAACCUUACCACGUCUUGACGUCCUCUGACCAUCCUACAGAUAGAAAGACACCUCCGNGCGUUCAGGGACAGAGGGAGCAUGGUUGUCUGCA
rnacentral:rRNA from 2 species